rnacentral:rRNA from 1 species
ACUCCUACGGGAGGCAGCAGUAGGGAAUCUUCCACAAUGGGCGCAAGCCUGAUGGAGCAACACCGCGUGAGUGAAGAAGGGUUUCGGCUCGUAAAGCUCUGUUGUUAAAGAAGAACACGUAUGAGAGUAACUGUUCAUACGUUGACGGUAUUUAACCAGAAAGUCACGGCUAACUACGUGCCAGCAGCCGCGGUAAUACGUAGGUGGCAAGCGUUAUCCGGAUUUAUUGGGCGUAAAGAGAGUGCAGGCGGUUUUCUAAGUCUGAUGUGAAAGCCUUCGGCUUAACCGGAGAAGUGCAUCGGAAACUGGAUAACUUGAGUGCAGAAGAGGUAGUGGAACUCCAUGUGUAGCGGUGGAAUGCGUAGAUAUAUGGAAGGACACCAGUGGCGAAGGCGGCUACCUGGUCUGCAACUGACGCUGAGACUCGAAAGCAUGGGUAGCGAACAGGAUUAGAUACCCCUGGUAGGAUAGCG